AUCCAACUGACGAGUCCUAGAACAGAACGAAACGUGUGUCCUGGAU
rnacentral:hammerhead_ribozyme from 1 species